UUGCUAGAAGUCGUUGACCAUUUUACUCGUAGUUCCGCCCACACCCGGAUGUUGUGCUUUUUAAUUGCUCGUAUGUUGGUGAUGGGAAGUUGUGAUUCUUUACAUGAGAUGGUGUUUUGCACUAGUUCUGGCAAAUACAUAUGAAAUAAAUGGUAUUUACUAGGUCAGGAGCAUGCUGCGUGAGGGGAAAGAAGCGUGUCCCCUCUCAGAGGAUAGUUUCAGCCACUUUUUCUGUCCCAGAGUAACACGUGUACGGCCUCUGCUGGCGGGAGAGCAAGAGCUAACGUUACUCACCGCUAAUCUGAAAGGCAAAGUUGUCUGUUUGAGGUACCAAUACCUCCAACAGAAAGUAAGACCUGUUGCUAAAGAAGUACAGUUCAUCUACAUACCAGGACUCUGGUGACAAAGCCACUCUGUUCCUCAACAUCUACUGUGACAACAAGCCAUGGUCGCAGUUGCAAAUGAGAACUUGUUCUCAACUAGCCUACCUG